rnacentral:rRNA from 1 species
GAUAAACGCUGGCGGCGUGCCUAAUACAUGCAAGUCGAGCGAACGGACGAGAAGCUUGCUUCUCUGAUGUUAGCGGCGGACGGGUGAGUAACACGUGGAUAACCUACCUAUAAGACUGGGAUAACUUCGGGAAACCGGAGCUAAUACCGGAUAAUAUUUUGAACCGCAUGGUUCAAAAGUGAAAGACGGUCUUGCUGUCACUUAUAGAUGGAUCCGCGCUGCAUUAGCUAGUUGGUAAGGUAACGGCUUACCAAGGCAACGAUGCAUAGCCGACCUGAGAGGGUGAUCGGCCACACUGGAACUGAGACACGGUCCAGACUCCUACGGGAGGCAGCAGUAGGGAAUCUUCCGCAAUGGGCGAAAGCCUGACGGAGCAACGCCGCGUGAGUGAUGAAGGUCUUCGGAUCGUAAAACUCUGUUAUUAGGGAAGAACAUAUGUGUAAGUAACUGUGCACAUCUUGACGGUACCUAAUCAGAAAGCCACGGCUAACUACGUGCCAGCAGCCGCGGUAAUACGUAGGUGGCAAGCGUUAUCCGGAAUUAUUGGGCGUAAAGCGCGCGUAGGCGGUUUUUUAAGUCUGAUGUGAAAGCCCACGGCUCAACCGUGGAGGGUCAUUGGAAACUGGAAAACUUGAGUGCAGAAGAGGAAAGUGGAAUUCCAUGUGUAGCGGUGAAAUGCGCAGAGAUAUGGAGGAACACCAGUGGCGAAGGCGACUUUCUGGUCUGUAACUGACGCUGAUGUGCGAAAGCGUGGGGAUCAAACAGGAUUAGAUACCCUGGUAGUCCACGCCGUAAACGAUGAGUGCUAAGUGUUAGGGGGUUUCCGCCCCUUAGUGCUGCAGCUAACGCAUUAAGCACUCCGCCUGGGGAGUACGACCGCAAGGUUGAAACUCAAAGGAAUUGACGGGGACCCGCACAAGCGGUGGAGCAUGUGGUUUAAUUCGAAGCAACGCGAAGAACCUUACCAAAUCUUGACAUCCUUUGACAACUCUAGAGAUAGAGCCUUCCCCUUCGGGGGACAAGGUGACAGGUGGUGCAUGGUUGUCGUCAGCUCGUGUCGUGAGAUGUUGGGUUAAGUCCCGCAACGAGCGCAACCCUUAAGCUUAGUUGCCAUCAUUAAGUUGGGCACUCUAAGUUGACUGCCGGUGACAAACCGGAGGAAGGUGGGGAUGACGUCAAAUCAUCAUGCCCCUUAUGAUUUGGGCUACACACGUGCUACAAUGGACAAUACAAAGGGCAGCGAAACCGCGAGGUCAAGCAAAUCCCAUAAAGUUGUUCUCAGUUCGGAUUGUAGUCUGCAACUCGACUACAUGAAGCUGGAAUCGCUAGUAAUCGUAGAUCAGCAUGCUACGGUGAAUACGUUCCCGGGUCU